UACGUAGGGUGCGAGCGUUAAUCGGAAUUACUGGGCGUAAAGCGUGCGCAGGCGGUUUUGUAAGGCAGAUGUGAAAUCCCCGGGCUUAACCUGGGAAUGGCAUUUGGGACUGCAUGGCUGGAGUGUGGCAGAGGAGACUGGAAUUCCCGGUGUAGCAGUGAAAUGCGUAGAUAUCGGGAGGAACACCAGUGGCGAAGGCGGCUUCCUGGCCUGUUCUUGACGCUGAGGCGCGAAAGCUAGGGGAGCAAACGGG
rnacentral:rRNA from 1 species